GAUGAACGCUGGCGGCGUGCCUAAUACAUGCAAGUCGAGCGAACAGACGAGGAGCUUGCUCCUCUGACGUUAGCGGCGGACGGGUGAGUAACACGUGGAUAACCUACCUAUAAGACUGGGAUAACUUCGGGAAACCGGAGCUAAUACCGGAUAACAUGUUGAACCGCAUGGUUCAACAGUGAAAGACGGUCUUGCUGUCACUUAUAGAUGGAUCCGCGCCGCAUUAGCUAGUUGGUAAGGUAACGGCUUACCAAGGCAACGAUGCGUAGCCGACCUGAGAGGGUGAUCGGCCACACUGGAACUGAGACACGGUCCAGACUCCUACGGGAGGCAGCAGUAGGGAAUCUUCCGCAAUGGGCGAAAGCCUGACGGAGCAACGCCGCGUGAGUGAAGAAGGUCUUCGGAUCGUAAAACUCUGUUAUUAGGGAAGAACAAAUGUGUAAGUAACUAUGCACGUCGUGACGGUACCUAAUCAGAAAGCCACGGCUAACUACGUG
rnacentral:rRNA from 1 species